rnacentral:rRNA from 1 species
UAGGGAAUCUUCGGCAAUGGACGAAAGUCUGACCGAGCAACACCGCGUGAGUGAAGAAGGUUUUCGGAUCGUAAAACUCUGUUGUUAGAGAAGAACAAGGACGUUAGUAACUGAACGUCCCCUGACGGUAUCUAACCAGAAAGCCACGGCUAACUACGUGCCAGCAGCCGCGGUAAUACGUAGGUGGCAAGCGUUGUCCGGAUUUAUUGGGCGUAAAGCGAGCGCAGGCGGUUUCUUAAGUCUGAUGUGAAAGCCCCCGGCUCAACCGGGGAGGGUCAUUGGAAACUGGGAGACUUGAGUGCAGAAGAGGAGAGUGGAAUUCCAUGUGUAGCGGUGAAAUGCGUAGAUAUAUGGAGGAACACCAGUGGCGAAGGCGGCUCUCUGGUCUGUAACUGACGCUGAGGCUCGAAAGCGUGGGGAGCAAACAGG